rnacentral:pre_miRNA from 1 species
UCUCUGUCCCUGAGACCCUUAACCUGUGAGGAAGACUGAUGUCACAGGUGAGGUUCUGAGGAGCUGGG